CCUACGGGUGGCUGCAGUGGGGAAUAUUGCACAAUGGGCGAAAGCCUGAUGCAGCAACGCCGCGUGAAGGAAGAAGGCCUUCGGGUCGUAAACUUCUGUCCUUGGGGAAGAAGAACUGACGGUACCCAAGGAGGAAGCCCCGGCUAACUACGUGCCAGCAGCCGCGGUAAUACGUAGGGGGCAAGCGUUAUCCGGAAUUAUUGGGCGUAAAGAGUACGUAGGUGGUAUGUCAAGUCAAGGGUGAAAUCCCCGCGCUCAACGUGGGAACUGCCUUUGAAACUGGCAAACUGGAGUGUGUGAGAGGAUAGUGGAAUUCCAGGUGUAGGAGUGAAAUCCGUAGAUAUCUGGAGGAACAUCAGUGGCGAAGGCGACUAUCUGGCACAUAACUGACGCUGAGGAGCGAAAGCGUGGGUAGCAAACAGGAUUAGAUACCCUAGUAGUC
rnacentral:rRNA from 1 species